rnacentral:rRNA from 1 species
GCCAGACUCCUACGGGAGGCAGCAGUGGGGGAUAUUGCACAAUGGGGGAAACUCUGAUGCAGCGACGCCGCGUGAGGGAAGACGGUCUUCGGAUUGUAAACCUCCGUCUUUGGGGAAGAAAAUGACGGUACCCAAAGAGGAAGCUCCGGCUAACUACGUGCCAGCAGCCGCGGUAAUACGUAGGGAGCGAGCGUUGUCCGGAAUUACUGGGUGUAAAGGGAGCGUAGGCGGGCGAGAAAGUUGAAUGUUAAAUCUACCGGCUUAACUGGUAGCUGCGUUCAAAACUUCUUGUCUUGAGUGAAGUAGAGGCAGGCGGAAUUCCUAGUGUAGCGGUGAAAUGCGUAGAUAUUAGGAGGAACACCAGUGGCGAAGGCGGCCACCUGGACCGGUAUUGACGCUGAGGCGCGAAAGCGUGGGGAGCAAACAGGAUUAGAUACCCGGGUA